CUACUCGUACCUCUACUAUUUCCACUCAUUUUCUUCUUUUUACUUACUCUUCUACUCUACUCUUCUUUGUCAUAGAUAUAAGAGAAAUAGAUAUAAGAUAGAGCAGAUAGAGCAGAUAGAG
rnacentral:ribozyme from 1 species